rnacentral:rRNA from 1 species
UAAUGAAUGGCCGCGGUACUUUGACCGUGCUAAGGUAGCGCAAUCAAUUGGUUUUUAAUUGGAGCCAGGUAUGAAUGGAGUUACGGGGUUUAGCUGUCUCUUUCUUAUUCUAUCGAAAUUACUAUCUAGGUGAAAAAGCCUAGAUAUUGAAAAAGGACGAGAAGACCCUUAGAGUUUUUCUUAUAGUAAGAUUUAAUUUCUUAUAAUAGUUUAGUUGGGGCAACAUAGGAGCAAAAAAUCUCCUGAAAAUAAUUAAUCGAUUAUUUUAGCAUUAAAUAAACUACCUUAGGGAUAACAGCAUAAUUUUAUAAGUAAGUUUGUGACCUCGAUGUUGGACUGGGAAACUAAAGGGUUAGCCGCCUUUUAGGUGAGUUCUGUUCGAACUAUUAUUCCC